GACGAACGCUGGCGGCGUGCCUAAUACAUGCAAGUAGAACGCUGAAGGAGGAGCUUGCUUCUCUGGAUGAGUUGCGAACGGGUGAGUAACGCGUAGGUAACCUGCCUGGUAGCGGGGGAUAACUAUUGGAAACGAUAGCUAAUACCGCAUAAUAGUAGAUGUUGCAUGACAUUUACUUAAAAGGUGCAAUUGCAUCACUACCAGAUGGACCUGCGUUGUAUUAGCUAGUUGGUGGGGUAACGGCUCACCAAGGCGACGAUACAUAGCCGACCUGAGAGGGUGAACGGCCAAACUGGGACUGGGACACGGCCCAGACUCCUACGGGAGGCAGCAGUAGGGAAUCUUCGGCAAUGGACGAAAGGCUGACCGAGCAAAGCCGCGUGAGUGAAGAAGGUUUUCGGAUCGUAAAGCUCUGUUGUAAGAGAAGAACGAGUGUGAGAGUGGAAAGUUCACACUGUGACGGUAUCUUACCAGAAAGGGACGGCUAACUACGUG
rnacentral:rRNA from 1 species